UAAUGAGAGAGAUAUAAAAUUUAGAAAAAAAUGGAAUUAAAAGAAAUAAAAGAAAUUAAAAUCAGAAAAUAGAAAAUUGGAAAAAGCGUGAGCCAUUGGAUCAUCCUUCAUUAAUUGACGUGGAUCAUCACACAGCCUAGAAGCGCGCGUUCACCAAACACGUGAGUCAAACGAGAUACACCCAGCCUUUAAUGAAGUCAUAACA
rnacentral:lncRNA from 1 species